AAUGAACGUUGGCGGCGUGGAUUAGGCAUGCAAGUCGAGCGAUAACCGUAGCAAUACGGCGAAAGCGGCGUAAGGGAGAGUAAUGCAUGGAUAUCUACCCUCGGGUCUGGGAUAGCUGCGGGAAACUGCAGGUAAUACCAGAUGACAUCUCCGGAUCGAAGGUGUGAUUCCGCCCGGGGAGGGGUCCAUGUCCCAUUAGCUUGUUGGUGAGGUAACGGCCCACCAAGGCUGAGAUGGGUACGAGGUGUGAGAGGACGACCUCGCUCACUGGGACUGAGACACUGCCCAGACACCUACGGGUGGCUGCAGUCGAGAAUCUUCGGCAAUGGGCGCAAGCCUGACCGAGCGACGCCGCGUGCGGGAUGAAGGCCUUCGGGUUGUAAACCGCUGUCAGUGGGGAGGAGAUUCCAUAGGGUAAUCUCUAUGGAUUGACCUAUCCGCAGAGGAAGGAUGGGCUAAGUUCGUGCCAGCCGCCGCAGUAA
rnacentral:rRNA from 1 species